CCCUUAGAGUUUGAUCCUGGCUCAGAACGAACGCUGGCGGCGUGCCUAAUACAUGCAAGUCGAACGAGAAAGUGGCUUCGGCCAUGAGUACAGUGGCAGACGGGUGAGUAAUACAUAGGCAACCUACCCUUAAGUUGGGGACAACCUUCCGAAAGGAGGGCUAAUACCGAAUGAGACCACAGUGGCUUCGGCCACCGAGGUUAAAGAUGGCCUCUAUUUAUAAGCUAUCACUUAGGGAUGGGCUUAUGCACCAUCAGCUUGUUGGUGAGGUAACGGCUCACCAAGGCUUUGACGGUUAGCUGAUCUGAGAGGUUGAUCAGCCACACUGGAACUGAGACACGGUCCAGACUCCUACGGGAGGCAGCAGUAGGGAAUAUUGCGCAAUGGACGAAAGUCUGACGCAGCGACGCCGCGUGGGUGAUGAAGGAUUUCGGUUCGUAAAGCCCUGUCGGAAGGGAAGAAAAACGAGGCGAAUAACAAGCGCCUCGCUUGUCGGUACCUUUAAAGGAAGCACCGGCUAACUACGUGCCAGCAGCCGCGGUAAUACGUAGGGUGCAAGCGUUGUUCGGAAUCAUUGGGCGUAAAGCGCGUGUAGGUUGUUAGUUAAGUCAGAUGUAAAAGCCCUCGGCUCAACCGGGGAAGUGCAUUUGAAACUAGCUGACUAGAA
rnacentral:rRNA from 1 species